CUAGGUGGAGUUUGUCCUAAAACUGCCUAAAACCACCACCGGCAAGAUUAAAAGGAGUGAUCUCCGGAAAAAGGAGUUUGGUGGGAUGUCAUCAGGAAAAAAAACAGAACCUACCCCGCGACUUAGGCAGAUCUCUGGGGUGCCUCAAUUUCCUCAAUAGGGUGGGGUUUGGAGGGGUAUCAGGAGGACUGAGGCCCCAGUAUUUUUUUUUAAAUCCCUGAGUUUGGUAACUGCCCUCCUUGGAAGUCCUCUGUUCUCCUGGAGGGCCCAGGUGAGCUCAAGGAUUGGGGUUGCAG
rnacentral:lncRNA from 1 species